rnacentral:tRNA from 1 species
GCCCUUGUAGCUCAGUAGGUAGAGCGGCCCAGGAAUAUGGGUGAUUGAAGCGUCGCCGGUUCGAGUCCGGUCAAGGGCA